rnacentral:rRNA from 1 species
UCGAGAAUUUUUCUCAAUGGGGGAAACCCUGAAGGAGCGACGCCGCGUGGAGGAUGAAGGUCUUCGGAUUGUAAACUCCUGUCAUUGGUGAACAAAGCCCUUCAAUGGGUUUGAUAGUAGCCGAAGAGGAAGAGACGGCUAACUCUGUGCCAGCAGCCGCGGUAAUACAGAGGUCUCAAGCGUUGUUCGGAUUUAUUGGGCGUAAAGGGUGCGUAGGCGGCAGGGUAAGUUAGGCGUGAAAUGCUGAAGCUCAACUUCGGCACUGCGCUUGAUACUGCCUUGCUCGAGUGCUAGAGAAGAAGCUGGAAUUUACGGUGUAGCAGUGAAAUGCGUAGAUAUCGUAAGGAACGCCAGUGGCGAAAGCGAGCUUCUAGAUAGUUACUGACGCUGAGGCACGAAAGCUGGGGGAGCAAACGGG